rnacentral:rRNA from 1 species
GAUGAACGCUGCCAGAAUGCUUAACACAUGCAAGUCGAUGGGGAAGUGGUGCUUGCCCCAUGGCAACCAUGGCGGACGGGUGAGUAACGCGUAAGGGACUUACCUGCAGGACUGGGAUAACAGGGGGAAACUCCUGACAAGACCGGAUAAUGUCAUGGAGCUGCAUGGCUUUAUGAUGAAAGGAGACGCCUGCGGAGAGCCUUGCGUCCUAUUAGCUAGUUGGUGAGGUAAUGGCUCACCAAGGCGAAGAUAGGUAGCCGGCCUGAGAGGGUGGACGGCCACAAGGGGACUGAGAUACGGCCCUUACUCCUACGGGAGGCAGCAGGGGGGAAUAGUGGACAAUGGGGGCAACCCUGAUCCAGCAAUUCUGUGUGCACGAAGAAGGUUUUCGGAUUGUAAAGUGCUUUCAGCAGGGAAGAAGUAAGUGACGGUACCUGCAGAAGAAGCGACGGCUAAAUACGUG